GACGAACGCUGGCGGCGUGCUUAACACAUGCAAGUCGAACGGAAAGGCCCUGCUUUUGUGGGGUGCUCGAGUGGCGAACGGGUGAGUAACACGUGAGUAACCUGCCCUUGACUUUGGGAUAACUUCAGGAAACUGGGGCUAAUACCGGAUAGGAGCUCCUGUUGCAUGGUGGGGGUUGGAUAGUUUCGGCGGUUGGGGAGGGACUCGCGGCUUAUCGGCUUGUUGGUGGGGUAGUGGCUUACCAAGGCUUUGACGGGUAGCCGGCCUGAGAGGGUGACCGGCCACAGUGGGACUGAGAUACGGCCCAGACUCCUACGGGAGGCAGCAGUGGGGAAUAUUGCACAAUGGGCGGAAGCCUGAUGCAGCAACGCCGCGUGCGGGAUGACGGCCUUCGGGUUGUAAACCGCUUUCGCCUGUGGCGAAGCGUGAGUGACGGUAAUGGGUAAAGAAGCACCGGCUAACUACGUG
rnacentral:rRNA from 1 species